AACUUUCAACAAUGGAUCACUUGGUUCUGGCAUGGAUGAAGAACGCAGCGACAUGCGAUAAGUAAUGUGAAUUGCGGAAUUCAGUGAACCAUCGAAUCCUUGAACGCACAUAGCGCCCGCCAGUAUUCUGGCGGGCAUGCCUGUUCGAGCGUCAUUUCAACCCUCAAGCCCCCGGGCUUGGUGUUGGGGAUCGGCGUGCCCUCGCGGCGCGCCGCCCCCUAAAUCUAGUGGCGGUCUCGCUGCAGCUUCCUCUGCGUAGUAGCACACCUCGCACCGGAGAGCAGCGCGGCCACGCCGUGAAACCCCCCACUUCUGAAAGGUUGACCUCGGAUCAGGUAGGAAUACCCGCUGAACUUAAGCAUAUCAAUAAGCGGAGGAU
rnacentral:misc_RNA from 1 species